AAUGAACGCUGGCGGCGUGCCUAACACAUGCAAGUCGAACGGGAUUAGGGGCUUGCUCCUCAUCUAGUGGCUCACGGGUGAGUAACGCGUAGAUAAUCUGCCUGAUGAUCUGGGAUAACACUUCGAACGAGGUGCUAAUACCGGAUAAGCCCACGGGUUCUUUGGAAUCUGCGGGUAAAGGGGGGGACCUUCGGGCCUUCUGUCAUCAGCUGAGUCUGCGUACCAUUAGCUAGUUGGUAGGGUAAUGGCCCACCAAGGCGACGGUGGUUAGGUGGUCUGAGAGGAUGAUCAGCCACACUGGAACUGAGACACGGUCAAGACUCCUACGGGAGGCAGCAGUGGGGAAUUCUGAGCAAUGGGAGAAAGCCUGACGCAGCAACGCCGCGUGAGUGAUGAAGGUCUUCGGAUCGUAAAGCUCUUUCGGCUGGGACGAAAACGGGCGGGUUAAUAGCCCGUCCCUUGACGGUACCGGAAGAAGAAGCACCGGCUAACUCUGUGCCAGCCGCCGCCGUAAAAC
rnacentral:rRNA from 1 species